rnacentral:rRNA from 1 species
GAGGAGCUGUCCUAUGCAGGGGGACAACAGUUGGAAACGGCUGCUAAUACCCCAUAAGCCGAGAGGUAAAAGGAUUUAUCCGGCAAAGGAGGCACUCGCGUCCUAUCAGCUAGUAGGUUGGGUAACGGCCGACCUAGGCGAAGACGGGUAGCCGGCCUGAGAGGGCGAACGGCCACACUGGAACUGAGAUACGGUCCAGACUCCUACGGGAGGCAGCAGUGGGGAAUAUUGGGCAAUGGGGGAACCCUGACCCAGCGACGCCGCGUGGGUGAAGAAAUCCUUCGGGAUGUAAAGCCCUGUUGUAUGGGAAGAGUAGAAGACGGUACCAUACGAGGAAGCACCGGCUAACUCCG